AUGACACAAGCCCAAACUAAAUUUUCAGCCUUUAUAACUGCUUUUAAGAACUGCUUUAAUCUUUCUUUUUUUUUUUCCUUCACAGGCAAUAAGUCUGAUGAAGCCUCAGCUGAAGUUUUUACUACCACAGUUUCAGAUGGCUUCAACAAUUCAACACUUACAUCAGCUAUCAUGGCAGCCUCAGCGCACCAGUUGACAUCUGUGGCCUCUCUGGAUUUCACAAGUCAAGCAAAUUUGGCUCCUGCUUCCACAACACAAGGUGAUGGGAGGAACACCAAAGCCAGUCGCUUCCCCUGGCCAACAGUGGUAGCUGCCCUGCUCCUCUUCUGCAGCGCUCUGGUAGCUUUAGGCAUCAGGAAAUGGUGUCAGUAUCAGAAAGAGAUUAUGAACAGACCUCCAUCUUUCAAGCCACCGCCACCUCCAAUAAAGUACACCUCCAUGGUAGAGUCUGAUGGGACUGCCCCAUCCUGCCAUGAACUGGAAAACCUGUAACAUCACCUGCACCCCUUGUGUAGCACACAGAAGACUGACACAGUUAAAAGGCUCUGCCUUUAGAACAGUGGUUACAGGAGCUUAGUGUUAAUGACUCAUAUUAAAAUUCAGAGCUCCUAUAUGACAUUAAUUUUGGAAGCUGAGCACUCCUUAGGACACUCCUUUCAUCCUAUAUAUCUCUAUGCAUGCACUAUGUUAAAAGCAUCGUGUCACUGUGAGAUUACAUGUGCUUGAUUUGAAUUGGGAGAUCAACUGGGAAUUUGCUGUCUCGUCCAUGGUAGCAGAUUAACACAUCACUCUGCCAGCCUGACUGAAGAGUGUUGAAGCUUGUCUAGCUAUUAAAUGUAUAGAGAUGACAGCUCUGCUGUAUGGACACCACAGUUACACAGAAAACAUUGGCUGAACACAAGAUUUUAAGACCUACAUCAGCUGUUCUUGCAAUUAUUUAUUUUUACUGUGGACUAAUAUAACCCAAUGUAUAAUUUUCUAUCACUGUGAAACCAAAAGAAAGAAUCAGCACCAUACAGAGAAAGAAAAUAACUGGCAUCUCUUGUCACAGGAUUGCUGGUGGAUGAUGAAUAACUGGAUCAUGAAGGGUGGUUGGUGAAAUGAAAGAUCAUGGUGCAGGACUGGUGCAAGUGUAUGCAAAGAAGUCCCAGCUGUCAUUGGUGAAGUCACAAGAAAGUCAAUUUGGGGCCAGAGAUUUAAGGACUGAAGCAAGCCUAAAGAUAAUGGAAAAUUCUAGUCCUUUUGGGAGUGCUUUGCCUUUGAAGUAAUACUUACUUUUCAGGAGUUAUAUUUACAGUAUACAUAAAAAAAAAAAAUAAAAGAAAAAAGAAAAAAAAAAGUAAUAAUUUU
rnacentral:lncRNA from 1 species